rnacentral:rRNA from 1 species
AUACGGAGGAUGCAAGCGUUAUCCGGAUUUAUUGGGUUUAAAGGGUGCGUAGGCGGUUUGCUAAGCGGGAGGUGAAAUGCCGGCGCUCAACGUCGGAAGUGCCUCCCGAACUGGUGGACUUGAAUGACUCUGCCGUGGGAGGAAUGUGUAGUGUAGCGGUGAAAUGCUUAGAGAUUACACAGAACACCGAUUGCGAAGGCAUCUCACGAAGGGUUGAUUGACGCUGAGGCACGAAAGCGUGGGGAUCAAACAGGAUAGAUACCCUGGUAGUCCACGCAGUAAACGAUGAUGGCUAACCGCUGGGCUUAUCAGUUCAGUGGCCAAGCGAAAGCGAUAAGCCAUCCACCUGGGGAGUACGACCGCAAGGUUGAAACUCAAAGGAAUUGACGGGG